AUGGUUUCAUAGCGUAUGCAGAUGUCAAAUCACUGUUUAGUAUAUUUGAAACAUGUAUUGUACAUCAAUUAUACUUCAAAAAAAUAGAAAAAAGCUAAUGUGUCUUAAGAAUACAUUGAUAUAAAUGCAACAUUCGAUAUCAAUAUCAUAAAAACAGAUGGUUGGUUCUUCAUCUCUUCAAUAGAAUAUUCUGUUUUGGACUUUGGGCCAAAUUUUAGGAAGAACCUUUGACAACGUAGGAUGCCUAUAUGAGAAAGCAGAACCGGGCCAAAGGACCUGAGACAACUUUCUGAAUAACUGCUUGAUUACAAUCUUCACAUAAACACUGGAGCACUGUAACUGAGUUCAAGAAACAAUAUUUAUUGGCUUAUGAUGUUUGUCAUAAAAAAAUACACAGUAUGUUUUACUGAAGGCAGAGGUUAUGAAGAAAAGAUUAGACCAUGUGGAAACGUGUAGUGUUGGAUGUGUUGCUGUGUGUGUCCACGCUAAUCAGUAUCAACGAGAGUAUGAGUGGGCAGGUAAUGCAGUCAAAUGGAGAACAGUUCCUACUCCGAUUACAUUGAGGGGGUAAGAAGGCUACUUGUUGAAGAUAGAAAAUACCUCAUCAGUAUGGACUACCCUAGCUCCUUAGGUAUUAUUAUAUCCUCAUAUUCAAUGACCUGGGUCCAGUCCCAGCUGGCAUAAGAUCCACUUUUUAAAUAGUGCUCGAGAUUGCACCAGUGGAUGUGUUGGGAGCCACAUCCUUGUACCUGCUGGUAUACAGACAAAUUUUAGCACUAGUAAUCCAGUAGGAAGGUAAUAAAAUUAUAUUCAUAAUAAAAUGAUAUUACUAUGAAAUGAUAUUGCUGUAAACGCAAUGACAUCUUCCAACUGGUGUAUGCUUACUUCUGCUU